rnacentral:rRNA from 1 species
GCAAGUCUAGGAGUCUUCGGACUCCGGCAGAAUGCUCAGUAACACGUCGAUAAUCUGCCCUAAGGCCUGGAAUAACCUCGGAAAACUGAGGGUAAUACCGGAUAUGGGAAAAAAACUGGAAUGUUUUUUCCUUCAAAGGCAACACCUUAGGAUGAGACGGCGGCUGAUUAGGCUGUUGGUGAGGUAAUGGCUCACCAAACCGAAGAUCAGUAGGGGCCUUGAGAGAGGGAGCCCCGAGAAGGGCACUGAGAUACUGGCCCUAGCCCUACGGGGUGCAGCAGGCGCGAAACCUUUACAAUGCACGAAAGUGUGAUAAGGGAAUCCUGAGUGCUUAUGCUUUGCAUAGGCUUUUGCCAAAGGUAAAGACUUUGGCGAAUAAGUGGUGGGCAAGACUGGUGCCAGCCGCCGCGGUAACACCAGCGCCACGAGUGGGAGCCGUUAUUAUUGGGCCUAAAGCGUCCGUAGCCGGUUUAGUAAAUCUCUUGUGAAAUCGUUACCCUAAAUGUAACGGCGUGCAGGAGAGACUGCUGAACUUGAGACCGGAGAGGAGUCAGAAGUAUUCAGGGGGGAGCGGUAAAAUGCUAUAAUCCCCUGAGGACUACCUGUGGCGAAGGCGUCUGACUAGAACGGUUCUGACGGUGAGGGACGAAAGCCAGGGGAGCAAACCGGAUUAGAUACCCGAGUAGUCCUGGCCGUAAACGCUGCGAGCUAGGUGUUGCGUAUUCUCCGAGGAUGCGCAAUGUCGAAGCGAAGGUGUUAAGCUCGCCGCCUGGGAAGUAUGGUCGCAAGGCUGAAACUUAAAGGAAUUGGCAGGGAGCACUACAAGGGGUGCGGCGUGCGGUUUAAUCUAAUUCAACACAGAGAACCUCACCAGAGGCGACGGCAGGAUGAAAGUCAGGCUUAAGACCUUACUUGACGAGCCGAGAGGUAGUGCAUGGCCGCCGUCAGCUCGUGCCGUAAGGUGUCCUGUUAAGUCAGGCAACGAGCGAGACCUGUACUCACAAUUGCUAACGACAGCUCCGGCUGAAUCGAGCACAUUGUGAGAACUGCCCUGGAAACAGGGAGGAAGGUGCAGGCUACGGUAGGUCUGUAUGCUCCGAAUCCUCUGGGCUACACGCGCGCAACAAUGGUAGGGACAAUGGGAUACGACUCCGAAAGGAGAAGUUAAACCUCUAAACCCUAUCCAAGUCCAGAUUGAGGCUUGCAACUCAGCCUCAUGACGAUGGAAUCCCUAGUAAUUGGACGUCAUCAACGUCCAGUGAAUAUGUCCCUGCUCCUUGCACACACCGCCCGUCAAACCACCCGAGUAGGGUCUGGAUGAGGCUUAAUUUUCAAUUAAUUCGAAUCUAGGCUCCGCGAGGAGGGUUAAGUCGUCACAAGGUA